GACGAACGCUGGCGGCGUGCCUAAUACAUGCAAGUAGAACGCACAGUUUAUACCGUAGCUUGCUACACCAUAGACUGUGAGUUGCGAACGGGUGAGUAACGCGUAGGUAACCUGCCUGGUAGCGGGGGAUAACUAUUGGAAACGAUAGCUAAUACCGCAUAAUAUUGAUUAUUGCAUGAUAAUUGAUUGAAUGCUGCUAUUGCAUCACUACCAGAUGGACCUGCGUUGUAUUAGCUAGUAGGUGAGGUAACGGCUCACCUAGGCGACGAUACAUAGCCGACCUGAGAAGGUGAGCGGCCACACUGGGAAUGAGACACGGCCCAGACUCCUACGGGAGGCAGCAGUAGGGAAUCUUCGGCAAUGGACGAAAGUCUGACCGAGAAACGCCGCGUGAGUGAAGAAGGGUUUCGGAUCGUAAAGCUCUGUUGUAAGGGAAGAACGGGUGUGAGAGUGGAAAGUUCACACUGUGACGGUAUCUUACCAGAAAGGGACGGCUAACUACGUG
rnacentral:rRNA from 1 species